rnacentral:misc_RNA from 1 species
AUCAAGGCAGUGCCAGCAGUAGGUGCGGUCAGGCCAGUUAAAAUAUUGAAGAGACUUGUUUUUCCAGCUCCGUUGUGUCCAAGACUUGUAAAGAUCGACUAUUCUAAUCGCUUCACGACCCUUCAUCUCGCGCACCACAGGUUCAACGUCACGAUUAGUCUCUUCACCAGGAAUAAAAGAAUUUGAUUCACCAUUCGAUGAUGGUACCUGCAAAUACGACUGUGAAUAUACAUUUUUCUAUUUUCU